UUUUAACUAAUAUAAUAUAAUGCCCCUCAUUCAAGUUUUAGGCUACUCAAAAGACUACAAUCUUUCAAGAAUCUUUCCCAAAUCUUGUCAAAGUUUGUCAGUGUAAGGUAGGCUUAAUCAGGAUUUCUGGAGCAAGGAAGCUGAAAGAAACAUUCCAUGACAAAUUGAUUGAUUGGUGCCAGGGACAGGGGUGGCAAUUGCCUCUCAAGGCAGACACCACGUUUGAGAAAAAAGGCCCAGAAGAGAUGUACAAUCAGAAAGUACAGUAAAGUGAAUGUUACUUGAUGGGUUCUUCUUUAGGAUUGCAUACAGAACCACAUAGCACACAAUAGCCACAAGCCUAAUGCAAUGUUUUUGUUUUCUGUAAUUAUUAUUUUUCUAAUAAUACAUA